GGAUCGGUCACAACGAGAAAAACUUUCCUCGGUUGCUCAUCUCAAUAUACGAACAGCUUGCGCCAAAUCCGCGAAUACAUCCGGUGCUCAUCAGCGCUCGUCUCUUGUAGACAUUACUUGCGCAUCCCAUCUACAAAAGUCCUGCACUUCACAUAAUUAUGCCUCCGGAACCGAGUCCGGAACAAAUCAGCAUCCUUUUGCUGAAGGAAAUGAUUACAUACCUAGACCCUAUUUACAUACCAAUGAACCGGAUGGGAAAUAUGAAUCACUUUGCCCGCCGCGCAAUGAUACCGGUAAACGCAAACAUAUGCCAGUCAACGCUACUGUAACCGAGUCGGUUAGUUUACAAUUUGGAGCACCCUGCACACAAUACUCCGAUGGAGGCCAGUGUGUGUCUAUCACGGAACCUGAAUACGCAUCACGUAGUAUACGAACAGAGGGAUAUGUCUCGGAUCUGCAGCCGCGAGAAUCAUCCCAUACAUCACGCAAUAACACAGCCGGAUCGCAUCAGCAUUCUUUGACUCGGAAAAAUGAUUCCUGCAAGCCUGCGCCCAAGUCGCGAAUACCGCUACUCGUUUCAAACUUCUUUGAGUCUUCAAAUUCGGUGCAUUCUCACCGUUCGCGUUUCUCUCGAAA